rnacentral:rRNA from 1 species
AGCAUUAUGAAGAUAUAUAAAGUGAAACCUGCCCAGUGAUAUUUUUAACGGCCGCAGUACCUUGACUGUGCUAAGGUAGCAUAAUAAUUUGACUUUUAAUUGAAGCCUUGUAUGAAAGGAAUAAUGGAUAAUCUCUGUCUCUAAAUGAUUUAUUUAAAGUUGCUUAAAAGGUGAAAAUACCUUUAAUUUAUUUAAUAGACGAGAAGACCCUAGGAGUUUAUUUAGAUAAAUAUUAAUAUUUUGUUGGGGCGACAUUACAGCAGUAUAAUAACCUGUAAAAAUUUUAAAAACUUAACGAAAAAUUUUAAUUAAGAUUAAACUACCCUAGGGAUAACAGCAUAAUUUUAUUUUAAAGUUUGUGACCUCGAUGUUGGACUAGGAAUUUUUAAUAUUAACAGUUUUAAAAAAAUGUUCUGUUCGAACAGUAAAUCCUACAU